rnacentral:rRNA from 1 species
AUACGGAGGGUGCAAGCGUUGUCCGGAAUUAUUGGGUGUAAAGGGUGUGCAGGCGGGGCGGUAAGUCAGGGGUGAAAGUCUACGGCUCAACCGUAGGAUGGCCUUUGAUACUGUCGUCCUUGAGUCCCGGAGAGGCCAUUAGAAUUCGUGGUGUAGCGGUGAAAUGCGUAGAUAUCACGAGGAAUACCGGAAGCGUAGGCGGAUGGCCGGACGGCGACUGACGCUCAGGCACGAAAGCGUGGGGAGCGAACAGGAUUAGAUACCCUGGUAGUCCACGUUGUAAACGAUGGAUGCUCGGUGUUCGACUCCGUUAGCGGGUUGAGUGCCCAAGUUAACGCGAUAAGCAUCCCACCUGGGGAGUACGCUCGCAAGAGUGAA